ACAGUAUGAUAAUAAAACAGUGGUCCUGAAAACUCUUGCCAAAUCAGUUUUGCAAGCCAAAUCAUUAUUAAAAGUGCGGGCAGAACAACUGGUCUGGUUUCCACUGGAGUACCACUCUGAGCUCUUCAAGACACCAGUUACUUUAUUGGAUCUGGUUAGUAAGAAACUUAAGAAGCUUCUACAUGGAGAAGAUGCAGAUGCCAUAUCAGGCUUUACGUUUUGCCAACCCUUGACAUACAAGGAGUUUGAAAAGCAGAAGGGAAGGACAAUUCAGUAUCUACACCAGUUGGCUCUUGAGAUUAAUAGUAACCCCAGCAUCU
rnacentral:lncRNA from 1 species